AGGACGAACGCUAGCGGCGUGUCUGAAACAUGCAAGUCGAACGGAGCAGCAAUGCUCAGUGGCGAACGGGUGCGUAACACGUAAAGAACCUGUCCUUUAGCGGGGAUAGCCCUGGGAAACUGGGGGUAAUACCGCAUACGCAGCACUAUACGCAUGUAUAGAGUUGGAAAGGCAUCGCAAGAUGUCACUGAAGGAGGGCUUUGCGGCCUAUCAGGUAGUUGGUGGGGUAACGGCCUACCAAGCCUAAGACGGGUAGCUGGUCUGAGAGGAUGGUCAGCCACACUGGGACUGAGAUACGGCCCAGACUCCUACGGGGGCAGCAGUUUAGAAUAUUGUGCAAUGGGCGAAAGCCUGACACAGCGACGCCGCGUGGGUGAUGAAGGCCUUAGGGUCGUAAAGCCCUGUUGGUAGGGAUGAGCAAGGACAGUACCUACCGAGGAAGCCCCGGCUAACUACGUGCCAGCAGCCGC
rnacentral:rRNA from 1 species